rnacentral:tRNA from 1 species
UGUAGCUCAGUUGGUAGAGCAUGGCACUUGUAAUGCCAGGGUACUGGGUUCGAUUCCCGGUA